rnacentral:rRNA from 1 species
GAUGAACGCUAGCGGCAGGCUUAAUACAUGCAAGUCGAACGAAGUGGUAACACUUAGUGGCGCACGGGUGCGUAACACGUAUGCAACCUACCUAUCGUUGGGGGAUAACUUUGAGAAAUCAGGGCUAAUACCGCAUAAAACAGCGUUACUGCAUGGUAAUGCUGUUAAAGUUACGGCGACGAUAGAUGGGCAUGCGUCCGAUUAGGUAGUUGGCGAGGUAACGGCUCACCAAGCCGACGAUCGGUAGGGGAUCUGAGAGGAUAAUCCCCCACACUGGCACUGAGAUACGGGCCAGACUCCUACGGGAGGCAGCAGUAGGGAAUAUUGGGCAAUGGUCGCAAGACUGACCCAGCCAUGCCGCGUGCAGGAAGAAGGCGCUCAGCGUUGUAAACUGCUUUUAUCAAGGAAGAAAAGUUACUUGCGAGAACAAUUGACGGUACUUGAAGAAUAAGCCACGGCUAACUACGUGCCAGCAGCCGCGGUAAAGC